rnacentral:rRNA from 1 species
CCUGARAAACCCAAAAGAUCGAAUGGGGAGAUUCAUCGUCAGCGAUCCCGGCGCGGGUGCGGUACGCGAUGUCGGGGACUUCGGUCCCGCGGCACGCGUCCGUGCGUUCAACUGCCGGGUGUCGUCGGCGUGCACUUCUCCCCUAGUAGGACGUCGCGACCCGUUGGGUGUCGGUCUACGGCCCGGGUGGGCGCCUGUCACGCGCAACGCUUCACGGCGUCGUGUGGCAGACCCCCGGUUGUCUGACCAGCUGCCCGGCGGUACUCGCACGGUAUCGGGCCGCAAAUAUUCGAACUGCGUCCGGCCCGCCGCAAGCGAGGCAAGUGUUUCCCGGAUGUACGGACCUAGCGCCGUCACCGGGCCUGGCCAGCUGUUGGUCGGCGGUGUCCUGGGACUGGCUCAUGAAUUAUGAUACCGGUCGGCGACGCUACUGCUUUGGGUACUUUCAGG